rnacentral:tRNA from 1 species
CGCGGGGUACAGUAGUGGUUAACUGAACGGCCUCAUAAGCCGAAGCCGUGGGUUCGAAUCCCACCCCCGCUACCA